UAUAUGUGCAAUGCCACGUGGUGAUUUGAGUGUGGGUUGCUUGAGGCAAUUGUUGUGUUGUAAUUUUGAGAAAUGAUGCGGUGAAGGAAUGUCAUGUUGAUGACUUAAGUGGGGAUGAGGAUUUCAUUUGUGAAUUCUCGUUGUGUGAGUUUACGUUUGUGAUGAAAGGAUUUAGUGGCCAUAGGAAUGUAUUUUUAUACAAAGGGCUGUGGUUUUGUAGAUUACUACAGUUUUGGGAAAGAUGGAGAUUCGAUGGUUAGGUUAACUGUAAUCGAGAGCAAUUAACUUGCGCUUAAAUUUCGGGACGAAAUUUCUUUAAGGAGGGUAGAUUGUAAUAACCUAGUUUUUUUUAAUCAAACAAUUUGGUGGCAAACACCGGUUCCGUGAUUUAAGGUUAGUGGACAAUUGCAUAAUUUGAAGGCCGGUGCUUUAACAUGAUUAUGCAUGAGUGGAAGAACGAAUCAAUUAAGCUAAGAAACGAAUUCUCUCUCUCUCACGUCCGAAACCACCCAAAACAGAGCAAAACUUCUCCAAACUCUCUCUCACUCCACCGGCCACCAAUCAAGACCAGAACACUUCCUAUAGCUUCGCCUCGACCUUGCGCAGCUGCAGGUGGCAGCCUUGAACCACGACACGGCCACCAGCGGCGGCGGGAAGCUCCGCCCGGUUUGAGCUCGUUUUGGUUCCAAGCUUGAUAUCUCAAGCUACCGGCCAAAAAUCCUCACCAAACUUCACCCACGAGCUCGCCUCAACGUCCUGAAGCUCCCAGAAGUGGCCUUGCACGGCGGCGCUACUCGUGGUGGCGGCUGGAAGCCAGACCCGAUCAAAUCGAAAACCGAAGCUUCGAUCGGUAUAUCUCGAGCUGUAGUGCAUCGUUUUGAUUGAUUCUUUUUCCAGUGGGUUCCCCUUGAUGUUGUUAACAACUCUCUAGAAGGCAUCGAGGCCUGAAAUUGAAGUUUUUACGUCGAUCGGAGCCCUCGCCGGAUUCUGCAAAAUUCUGCAAAUUUUCCGACCACCGAAGCUUUCGAUCGGUAUAUCUCGAGCUACAGACCAUAUUUUUCUGUGAUUCUUGAACCAAUGCGUUCGUCUUGAGUUUCUUAACAACUCUCUAGAAGGAAUCGAAGCCUGAAAUUGAAGUUUUGACGUCGAAAUCAAGCCUUGCCGGAUUCUGCAAAUUUCGCCGGAUUCUGGAAAUUUUCCGGCCACCUCGACUGUUCUAGGUUAUUGACGGUUUGAGUUGGUGGACGAUUGUGGAUCGUAUUUUGAGCUGAAUUGAAGACGCAGCGGGAUUAUCGAGCGGGAAAUCCUACAGGUCAGGAGAACCAGGACGGUGAUCGGGCUGCUUAGAGUAGUGUUAUGUGAAUUACAGCAUUAUAUUGUGAGGUUUGUUAUGCUCAUUUAGAGCUUUGCAAUUUUACUUUGUAAGAGUGAAUUGUAAUAAUUAACUCGAGGUUUUCGAGUUUUUGUGUUGAGUGGCGAGUGGUAUGUUUGUUUGUGAGAAAAAAAUUCAGAACGUUAUUUGUAUUAAUU